CCUACGGGUGGCUGCAGUGAGGAAUAUUGGUCAAUGGGCGGGAGCCUGAACCAGCCAAGUCGCGUGAGGGAAGACGGUCCUAUGGAUUGUAAACCUCUUUAGGCGGGGAGCAAUGCCGGGCACGCGUGCCCGGAGGGAGAGUACCCGCAGAAUCAGCAUCGGCUAACUCCGUGCCAGCAGCCGCGGUAAUACGGAGGAUGCGAGCGUUAUCCGGAUUUACUGGGUGUAAAGGGCGUGUAGCCGGGCUGACAAGUCAGAUGUGAAAUCCGGGGGCUCAACCCCCGAACUGCAUUUGAAACUGUUGGUCUUGAGUAUCGGAGAGGCAGGCGGAAUUCCUAGUGUAGCGGUGAAAUGCGUAGAUAUUAGGAGGAACACCAGUGGCGAAGGCGGCCUGCUGGACGACAACUGACGGUGAGGCGCGAAAGCGUGGGGAGCAAACAGGAUUAGAUACCCCAGUAGUC
rnacentral:rRNA from 1 species